rnacentral:rRNA from 1 species
AACGAACGCUGGCGGCAGGCUUAACACAUGCAAGUCGAACGCGUGUAGCAAUACACGAGAGGCGCACGGGUGAGUAACGCGUGGAUAUCUGCCUUUUGGUUCGGAAUAACUCCGGGAAACUGGAGCUAAUACCGGAUGGUUCCUUCGGGAUAAAGAUUUAUCGCCAAAAGAUGAGUCCGCGUACGAUUAGCUAGUUGGUGAGGUAAUGGCUCACCAAGGCGACGAUCGUUAGCUGGUCUGAGAGGACGAUCAGCCACACUGGGACUGAGACACGGCCCAGACUCCUACGGGAGGCGGCAGUGGGGAAUAUUGGACAAUGGGGGCAACCCUGAUCCAGCCAUGCGGCGUGAGUGAUGAAGGCCUUCGGGUUGUAAAGCUCUUUUGGCGGGGACGAUGAUGACGGUACCCGCAGAAUAAGCCCCGGCUAACUUCGUGCCAGCAGCCGCCGUAA